rnacentral:tRNA from 1 species
UCCCUUGUGGCUCAGCUGGUAAAGAAUCUGCCUGCAAUGCAGGAGACCUGGGUUCGAUCCCUGAUUUGGGAA